UCCGUCGUGAGGCGGAAUCUGAAGGAAGCCGGAUGCAAAUGCACGGGCCAAAGUAUACGAACUGGGUUUGAGGCAGGGUUACUCGGAUUUUUCUAAAAUUUACGAUUAUAAAUUAAGAGCUUAUUUCAAUGAGCGCAUUCGUG
rfam:Paenibacillus uliginis N3/975 genome assembly, chromosome: I